GGACGAGCAGCUUCCGGAGUGUCAACAUGAGAAACUUUUGUAAUGAAGAAAGAAAAAAAAAAUCACCAUCACCUCCUAAAUUACCACUGGUUGGCUUGGAGGUUGGGAAUUCAGUGAUUGGCUGGUUUGGUGGGCAAGCUGGACUUUUUUGACUAUGCAAGCUGAAAACUGCACGGUAUCUGAAAGGAAUAGUGUAUCCUGCCAACCUUACCAGCUCCUUUGCUAUUGGACAGGCCUCCUUCACUAAACCCAGACCCCACGUUGUGAUAGGACGGCGCUGAAUGGCAUACGCUGUGAACAGUGCAGAUGCAACAGCACCAAGGAAUCCAGUUGGAUGAGUGUGGGUCAUUCUGCCAGUCUCCAUGGCGACUCUGACUAAAGAGGAGAGCUGCUCCGGUCGAGGGUAUCUGAUGAUAAGAAAUGGUGUUAGCUUAAAUGUUUUUCUGACUAAAAUAUGUCAUUGCAUUGGGAAAUUAUGUUCUUGGUUGUCCAUUGUUAAUGUGAAAGCAGCAUAACACACCAGCAUGGCCUUGUCCUCACCUCAAACCGAUGCACAUGGAUCUCAUGGCAGCGCCACAUCCUGUUCCUUCGGGAUUAUAAGCUAUUCUGUAGCCCCCUUCGGUACCUGGGCAUAACUGAGACACACCUAUGGAGAAACCCAUAGCAAUGUUUUUCGGUGCUCCUACAGCCGCUCUAAAAUAAGGUCUUUAUUCAUUACUCACUUACCUAGGAUGCUCGAUGGUCCCGGUUUCCUCCCCUCCAUGUCUUUCAUACCCUCCACAUAACGAGAUGCCACCUCAUGAAGCAGGUCCUCUCCUUCCUUUCCUAAAAGUAACAAUUAUCUUUAUACACCUUUAGCAGAGUCACCUUCACUCCAUCGAAAUGACUCACUAAUGACUUUCAAAUAGAGAAUUUUGCUUUACAAAAGUAUAAACUAGCACAUUUUAAAAUUAAUCAAACCAUUAUAAAAGUCAAACCUGUGG